rnacentral:misc_RNA from 1 species
GCUGAAUGAGGUUUUAUGGUUCUAAAUAUCAUUUAUGCUGGGGAAGUUAGUACUUUAUUGGUAGAUGCAGGCUACUAGUUCUAUUAUAUGUUUAGAGAGAAGCAUGAGUUAUGAACCGCCACACUCGCAAGCAGAUGCACAUACUAAGCACCAUCCAUUUCCAACAAUUUGCUGUUUUUUGGGGAAAAAAAAUUCCUCAAGUUUUGCUUCAGAGUAUUUUAGUCUGAGUUGUGUGUCUCCCUUCUUUCCUACUUUAGUAACAAUGUCACAACUUUUAGCCCUCUUUAACAAGAGUAGCAUAGCAUUUUAAUUGAAGUCAGUGGCGCCUAGCAAGAAUGAAGUGAUGUGAAAAAAACCAUUAGCCCAUUAUUGAUACAAUAUGUUAUCUAAUUUGGGUAGUGGGAUUUGAUAUUGGGUUUAUUCCUUGAAAUCCUGUGAGCUGUGAAUUGUUCUCAUCACUUUCAACUAUCCUGACAAAUUUGGUAAUUAUGCAUUUACUGACAAAAAUCUAGGGUUAUUUUUGGGCAGAGCAACAUUGAUAAGAUCUGUUUCCAUUGUCUGUGUUAAGAUCCCACAUUGGUUU